UGGUUUAUUCGAACCAGAGUUACUGUCAC
rnacentral:piRNA from 1 species